GAAUUCGAUUAGAGUUUGAUCCUGGCUCAGAGCGAACGCUGGCGGCAGGCUUAACACAUGCAAGUCGAACGGUCCUUCGGGAUAGUGGCGGACGGGUGAGUAACACGUGGGAACGUGCCUUCUGGUUCGGAACAACACAGGGGAACUUGUGCUAAUACCGGAUGAGCCCUUCGGGGGAAAGAUUUAUCGCCUUUGGAGCGGCCCGCGUCUGAUUAGCUAGUUGGUGAGGUAAUGGCUCACCAAGGCGACGAUCAGUAGCUGGUCUGAGAGGAUGGCCAGCCACACUGGGACUGAGACACGGCCCAGACUCCUACGGGAGGCAGCAGUGGGGAAUCUUGCGCAAUGGGCGAAAGCCUGACGCAGCCAUGCCGCGUGGAUGAUGAAGGUCUUAGGAUUGUAAAAUCCUUUCACCGGGGACGAUAAUGACGGUACCCGGAGAAGAAGCCCCGGCUAACUUCGUGCCAGCAGCCGCGGUAAUACGAAUCACUAGUGAAUUCGCGGCCGCCUGCAGGUCGACCAUAUGGGAGAGCUCCCAA
rnacentral:rRNA from 1 species